ACAUUCAAGAAAGCCAUCUUGUGCCAUGUGAAAAGAAAAUAAUACAACAGACCCCAUAAGUUUUGUUCAGGUUGGUGUAGCACUUUAUCAAUCAAUCAAUCACCUUUAUUUAUAUAGUGCUUUAAACAAAAUACAUUGCGUCAAAGCACUGAACAACAUUCAUUUGGAAAACAGUGUCUCAAUAAUGCAAAAUGAUAGUUAAAGGCAGUUCAUCAUUGAAUUCAGUUAUGUCAUACUUUAAAAGUAUUCAUUAUAAUUAUAAUGUGAAAAAUGAUUACAUAAAUUAAUACAGUUAAUGAAAAUACAUUUUCAGCUUGGAAUCUGCAUUAAAAAAAUUUUUUUUCUUAAUUUCAGACAUCCUAACUUGCAGUAGAUAUUUAUUGCUGCUGUUUAGCCACUGUUUGAAAGUGAUGUGACAUACAGCCAGUAUGGUGACCCAUGCUCGGAAUUCAUGCUCUGCAUUUAACCCAUCCAAAGUGCUCACACUCGCACGCAUGCACUAACAUGAAGAUGAAGGUGGAGAAGGUGAGAAGAGGACUGUACAUUUACUCCCCACACCUACAAUUCCUGCUAGCCUAAGACUCAAACUCACAACCUUUGAAUUGCGAGUCUGACUCUCUAACCAUUAGGCCCAGACUUCCCAAGUAUUACAGUAGGCUACUAGUUUGUGCCAUAUAUACUUGGGAAAUCACAGUCACCACUGGAAUAGAGAUUCAUUCAAAGACAAAUUUUGCAAUGGUCAAGAUUAUCUGCUGAAAUAAGUUGCACAUGCCGGUCAAAGCCAAGGACUACGAUACUCAUGGCUAAAUUCUGAAUCCUGAAUUUACAUUUACAUUUAAGCAUUUAGCUGGUGCUUUUAUCCAAAGCAUCUUACAUUAGAUGCUCAUGGUGAGCAAAGCAAAGUU